UCCCAGCUGAGGAGCGAAGAGCUGCUGGCGGCCACAGAUCUCAUGACAGCUCAGGGUUUUUAGAACUUCAGUUAUAAAAAUGGGCAGAAUUUUCCUUGAACAUAUUGGUGGUACCCGACUGUUUUCUUGUGCAAACUGUGAUACAGUCCUGACAAACCGCUCAGAACUCAUCUCCACUCGGUUCACAGGCGCCACUGGCAGAGCAUUUCUUUUUAACAAGGUAGUUAACCUGCAAUACAGUGAAGUUCAAGAUCGGGUCAUGCUCAGUGGCCACCACAUGCUCAUCUGGUUCGAGAUGUGAGCUGCAAAAACUACAAUAGCAAACUGGGAUGGAUGAGUUUGCCACCGAAGACAGCCAGCAUUAUAAGGAAGGCCGUGAGAUCCUGGAACGUGCUCUAGUUCGGGAGAGUGAGGGCUUUGAGGAGCAUGAACCAUCUGAUAACUCUUGAAGAAAAAAAGAGAAAUCCAUCUUUUCCCAGGUCUCCUUCACUGAAAACAAAAAUCUACUUACAUACACUGUCACCUUAGCAUCAGAGUCAGAUUCAUGAACUGCGGAACAAGAGGUUGUGAGAAUCUAAGAUGGAACCUUUCUUUUUUUCUUUUUUUUUUUUUAAUUUUGUAUUU